rnacentral:rRNA from 1 species
ACGCACGCUGGCGGCGUGCUUCACCCAUGCCAGUCGCACGGAAAGGCCCUGCUUUUGUGGGGUGCUCGAGUGGCGAACGGGUGAGUAACACGUGAGUAACCUGCCCUUGACUUUGGGAUAACUUCAGGAAACUGGGGCUAAUACCGGAUAGGAGCCCCUGCUGCAUGGUGGGGGUUGGAAAGUUUCGGCGGUUGGGGAUGGACUCGCGGCUUAUCAGCUUGUUGGUGGGGUAGUGGCUUACCAAGGCUUUGACGGGUAGCCGGCCUGAGAGGGUGACCGGCCACAUUGGGACUGAGAUACGGCCCAGACUCCUACGGGAGGCAGCAGUGGGGAAUAUUGCACAAUGGGCGGAAGCCUGAUGCAGCAACGCCGCGUGCGGGAUGACGGCCUUCGGGUUGUAAACCGCUUUCGCCUGUGACGAAGCGUGAGUGACGGUAAUGGGUAAAGAAGCACCGGCUAACUACGUG